rnacentral:rRNA from 1 species
CCCUUAGAUGUUCUGGGCUGCACGCGCGCUACGCUGAUGCACUCAACGAGUUUACGACCUUGCCCGAUAGGGUUGGGUAAUCUUUUUAAAAUGCAUCGUGAUGGGGAUAGAUUAUUGCAAUUAUUAAUCUUCAACGAGGAAUUCCUAGUAAGCGCGAGUCAUCAGCUCGUGCUGAUUACGUCCCUGCCCUUUGUACACACCGCCCGUCGCUCCUACCGAUUGAGUGCUCAGGUGAAUAAUUCGGACUGCAGCAAUGUUUGGAUCCCGAACGUUGCAGCGGAAAGUUUAGUGAACCUUAUCACUUAGAGGAAGGAGAANUCGUANCA